rnacentral:rRNA from 1 species
UAGGGAAUCUUCCACAAUGGACGCAAAUCUGAUGGAGCAACGCCGCGUGAGUGAAGAAGGGUUUCGGCUCGUAAAGCUCUGUUGGUAGUGAAGAAAGAUAGAGGUAGUAACUGGCCUUUAUUUGACGGUAAUUACUUAGAAAGUCACGGCUAACUACGUGCCAGCAGCCGCGGUAAUACGUAGGUGGCAAGCGUUGUCCGGAUUUAUUGGGCGUAAAGCGAGUGCAGGCGGUUCAAUAAGUCUGAUGUGAAAGCCUUCGGCUCAACCGGAGAAUUGCAUCAGAAACUGUUGAACUUGAGUGCAGAAGAGGAGAGUGGAACUCCAUGUGUAGCGGUGGAAUGCGUAGAUAUAUGGAAGAACACCAGUGGCGAAGGCGGCUCUCUGGUCUGCAACUGACGCUGAGGCUCGAAAGCAUGGGUAGCGAACAGGAUUAGAUACCCUGGUAGUCCAUGCCGUAAACGAUGAGUGCUAAGUGUUGGGAGGUUUCCGCCUCUCAGUGCUGCAGCUAACGCAUUAAGCACUCCGCCUGGGGAGUACGACCGCAAGGUUG